rnacentral:rRNA from 1 species
AGAGUUUGAUCCUGGCUCAGGACGAACGCUGGCGGCGUGCCUAAUACAUGCAAGUCGCGCGGAUGGACGUGUCCAUCAGCGGCGGACGGGUGAGUAACACGUGGGUAACCUGCCUGGCAGACCGGUAUAACGCCUGGAAACGGGUGCUAAUCCCGGAUAGGUUCUAUGGCCGCAUGGCCGCAGAAGGAAAGGCGCUACGGCGUCACUGCGAGAGGGGCCCGCGGCGCAUUAGCCAGUUGGUGGGGUAAGUGGCCUACCAAAGCGACGAUGCGUAGCCGACCUGAGAGGGUGACCGGCCACACUGGGACUGAGACACGGCCCAGACUCCUACGGGAGGCGAC